rnacentral:rRNA from 1 species
CCUACGGGAGGCAGCAGUGAGGAAUAUUGCACAAUGGGGGAAACCCUGAUGCAGCGACGCCGCGUGGGUGAAGAAGUAUUUCGGUAUGUAAAGCCCUAUCAGCAGGGAAGAAAGAAGACGGUACCUUACUAAGAAGCCCCGGCUAACUACGUGCCAGCAGCCGCGGUAAUACGUAGGAGGCGAGCGUUAUCCGGAUUCACUGGGUGUAAAGGGAGCGUAGACGGCCGUGCAAGCCAGGGGUGAAAGCCCGGGGCCCAACCCCGGAACUGCUCUUGGAACUGUGCGGCUGGAGUGCGGGAGGGGCAGGCGGAAUGCCUGGUGUAGCGGUGAAAUGCGUAGAGAUCAGGAGGAACACCGGCGGCGAAGGCGGCCUGCUGGACCGCGACUGACGUUGAGGCUCGAAAGCGUGGGGAGCGAACAGGAUUAGAUACCCCAGUAGUC